CCGCGCGCGCCUCUGACGCGCCGGAAGCCGGCGCCGCGUCGGUCUCCCAGGCGCCCGCGGUUGCCCUGACGACCGCGGGAGCGUGGGCCGCGCGGAACCGGGUGUGCAGAGGGCCGGCGGGGCUGCAGCGGUGCGCCGUGAGCAUGAGGAGCCGGUGUCUGUGUCAGAUCUGCACCUGCGGCCUCCCGGCUGGCCCAGGGACCGGUCACUGCUAAGUCCGCGCCAGGAGCGCGUGGGUGCCGCGGAACCGACGCCCGACCCCGGGACAGCGGGAAGUGAGUGCAGUGGUGUCCGCCCCGUCCGUCUCGUGUCUGUGAGGUCAUUUAAGCGGAUCAAUCAAGAUGUUCAAAGCCCGUAAAAAACUUAACCAGCCGACGCAGCCCCCAGAAAAACUAAAAAGGAGAGAUCGUCAGAAAGCUUUUUCUUUUCUAGAGACUGGAAACGUUGGGCCAGGAGACUUUUGCUUUCCUUUAUAAGCUUUUCAGUGUUUACUUGUUUUGUUAUAAGGUGAACGUAUGCCUUUGCUGGAAAAUAAAACUAAGAACGACGAGAAAUUCCAGAGCCUCGACUUGAUCCUUUUAACUCCGUGCACCCCUAGCAGGACCUCCAUGCAUGACCUAAUAAGCACCGUGUCCCUGGGCUUCCCAAGAGGUCAGGUGUGGUGCUAAGUCACUUCAGGACUUUCCCAAAGCCUCAGCUGCCAGCCAGCAAUCCCAAAUCUCUUGACCCCUCGGACUUGGAAUUUUCCUGAAGAGCCCUGACACCGUGUUUUCACUUUCCUCUGCACCGCAGUUCUUCUGCUUGACCAGCACCCUCCAAGCAGAGCAGCUAAUCUCUCGUUUGUUCUUCCUGAGGGUUCACUGAGCUCCGAUAUCCUCGCCAGCUCUGAUUGCAUCGGCACAGCAUAUGCAUUUUCUUCGAAUCCAGCCUCCCCUGGGCUUGUACUAUUAGCCCUAGCACAUAGCUCAGGUCCCCAAAUGACAUAGCGUGUGAGAAGCUGACCUCCUAUUUCAGCAUUGCUGGAUGUUACUUUUCUGUUGUUCGCUUGGGUUUUUCUGUCUUGUUAAGAAGUUUUUCUUUUUCUUUUUCUUUUCUGAGUAUGAAAUGAAUAUACAUGAGGCAUGGUACGAAAAUGCAAGGCAAAAAAUGUACAAUAUAGUGAAAAUCCCUCAUAAUCAUAGUCCCCACCAUAAAUGUUCUUUAAGACUUGCUUUACAAGUCCUCGGAAAGGAAACAGAGAAACAGCAUACCAUCAUACUAUAUUCUACAACCCACUUUUUCACUGUUUACAAUUUCCGCAUCUUGCAACGGCCGCACCUAAUGGUCAACCCCAUUCUCUGCAACCACUAUUGCUGUCAGCUUUUAUGAUAUAUUGGUCAGGAUUCUGCGUUAUGGACAAUAUAAUCUACUGCGGCCCAGCCCAGAAAUAAAAGAACUUACUAAGGAGUUUGUGUGGCUCACAGAAUUGUUGGAAGAACCAAAGAAACAGUUUCCAAAAUAAACUUUUCAGGAAAAAUUCCCCAAAAUCUCACCUCAGAACUGGGCUGCCAAGGGAGCCACGGCCUCGGCCAACAACCAGGAAACUGCAGCCGAGCUGUAGGCCUCAGAACCACCCCUUACCGCCAAGGUCAGGGAGCUGCCGGUGGGUCAGGAAGGCACCGUGGAAACCUGAAUGCGUCCUGACAACUAGGGCUC